rnacentral:rRNA from 2 species
CACGGAUCAAGGAGUCUAACUCGUGCGCAAGUCCUUCGAGCCGCUUCACGAAGCUUUAGAGGGCGCAACGAAAGUAAACACGAGGCGGACCCGAGACGAGAGGCCUUCGAACGCCCGGCGUAGGAGGCUCUUUCGAUUUCGGCGCACGCCAGGGGUCCGUUCUAGCGGCGCACGAACUCGAUUCGCGCGUCGCGUUCGAACGAGCGGGCUCUCCGAGCGCGCGGGAUAGUACCCGAAAGAUGGUGAUCUAUGCUUGGUUAGAACGAAGCCGGGGGAAACACCGGUGGAGGUUCGUGGCGAUUCUGACGUGCAAAUCGAUCGUCGGAGCUGAGUAUAGGGGCGAAAGACCAAUCGAACCAUCUAGUAGCUGGUUCCUUCCGAAGUUUCUCUCAGGAUAGCUGGCGUUCGAUCGGAAAGAGUUUCAUCCGGUAAAGAGAAUGAUUAGAGGUACGAGGGGACGAAACGUCCUCAGCCCAUUAUCAAACUUUAAAUGGGUGAGAAGUCGGACUUGCGUAAAACGAAGUCACGACCGUUACGAAUAGAAUCUGAACGCCUAGUGGGCCACUUUUGGUAAGCAGAAUUGGCGAUGUGGGACGAACCAAACGUCGGGUUAAGGGGCCAAAAAGUCGGUUAAUAAAGAGAAUUUAAAGGCGUUGGUCGCUCUAGACAGCGGACGG